rnacentral:rRNA from 1 species
ACAGCAGUCGCCACGGUAACACCAGCAGCCCAAGUGGUGGUCGCGUUUAUUGGGCCUAAAGCGCUCGUAGCCUGACCGGUAAGUUCCCCGUGAAAUCGGGUCGCCCAACGAUUCGGCUUGCGGGGAAUACUGUCGGUCUUGGGGCCGGGAGACGCCGAGGGUACUCCGGGGGUAGCGGUGAAAUGCUGUAAUCCUCGGGGGACUACCAGUGGCGAAGGCGCUCGGCGAUAACGGGCCUGACGGUGAGGGGCGAAAGCUGGGGGCGCGAACGGGAUUAGAUACCCGCGUAGUCCCUGUCUCUUAUA